CGAGCUCAAAGUGACACCGAUCGUUUCACAACGAUCCCACGUCAAUCUUGUCGCUCUACCAGACGACAGCGCGCUAUUUUGAAGUAAAUUUCGCUCAACUUCGCGACAAGUUCAACCGUAUCGUCUAAUUUUCUCGCGAACUUUUGCAAACUGGCUCGCAUCGAUUCUUCCUCGAGCCGAGGAAUACAUCACGGAAAUUAUAGUUCGACAUCGGGAACUGGUUCGUCGAAUCGGUAAACGGACAUCGCGACCUCAUUACCAACAGUCACGAAGAUAAAUUGUCUAGGUCCUGGAGCAUAGCCGUUCGUCCCGGGCAGCGUUUAUCACGUUUAUUGGCUGCCACGUAGCAUUUGAUCAGAGACGCGUAUCGACAUCGUCAAGUUUUAUUUCGAAUUUCUCGUGAGAGGAACUAGAACCGGUAUGCGGGGCGCUGGAACGGUACAAGUCCUCGAUCGGAAUGUGGAUUUACUUAUCUUCGAGGCGCGUACGCAGCAAACUGGACGAAGCAAACCAACCAUCCAGCGAAAACCCUUGCGGAUAGUUGUAAUUCGCGAUUACAUAGCCGUGGAAUAAAUUGCUACACCGUCUUGCCACGGAAUCGCGUAACACGACUAAAAUAGGAGCACAACAACGCGUUCAACGCUAGAACGCGAGCAUACAGGCUGAUUCUGAUAACUGUGACGUUCUAUAACUCCGUUCCAGGUGAAGCUGGAAAAUCUGAGAAAAAAAAUGUAUUUGCAUUUUGCAAAUGCACUGAUAUAUUUAAAAAAAAAUUCAUACAGUGAUGUUUGUUUUCCAACUUCACUUGGAAGAGAGGUAUAAAUUGCCCCAGUUGUUAGAACCACCCUGUAUACCUUGUUCACCUGCACGCUCAUAGAUAAAUUGAUUACAAGUACAAAAGAUACUUGAGAUCCUUGCACAGCUUUAUCAUGUGAAAACGAUCGUCUAAAUGCUUAAACGGUCACGAAUUCAUGGAACAUGACCGAGAUACAGAGUAUCUUUGGAAUCCCACGGGUCUCGAAGUGCUUGAGGCCCGCAUGCGCCAGUUUAUCAAUAAUAAAGUCCUAUGACUUCAGCAUUAUUAGUAUAAAGUCUCGUGUGUUUAAGGUGACCCCAAUUAAGUGACCCUUUAUGAGUUCAAGAACGUACCCAAGUGUCUUUGAAGAAUAGAUAUAUACAG